GACGAACGCUGGCGGCGUGCUUAACACAUGCAAGUCGAACGGGAUUUAGUAAACGGAAGCCUCGGUGGAAGAUUACUAAUGAGAGUGGCGAACGGGUGAGUAACGCGUGAGCAACCUGCCUAUGACAGUGGGAUAGCCUCGGGAAACCGGGAUUAAUACCGCAUAAAAUCGUAGAAACACAUGUUUCAACGGUCAAAGAUUUAUCGGUCAUAGAUGGACUCGCGUCUGAUUAGCUAGUUGGUGAGAUAACAGCCCACCAAGGCGACGAUCAGUAGCCGGUCUGAGAGGAUGAACGGCCACAUUGGAACUGAGACACGGUCCAAACUCCUACGGGAGGCAGCAGUGGGGAAUAUUGCACAAUGGGGGAAACCCUGAUGCAGCGACGCCGCGUGAACGAAGAAGGUAUUCGUAUCGUAAAGUUCUGUCCUAUGGGAAGAUAAUGACAGUACCAUAGAAGAAAGCUCCGGCUAAAUACGUG
rnacentral:rRNA from 1 species